UGCUAAAUGUUUGUAAUGCAAAUUUGAGUUUUCAUCAUCAUUUUUCUCCAACCAACUUUUGGAUAGAUGCUCUUCAAUAGGAUAAGAGAAUAAAAAAGAGACCUCUAUUUUUGUCAUUGUUGCAUCUUUGAUGCUCAAGAAGUCUAUGAAAAGUGACAAUUUAUUUACUGGGUGGCGCAUAUGCAUAGACUACACGAGGUUGAAUCAAGCAACAAGGAAGGAUCACUUUCCUUUACCUUAUAUGGAUCAAAUGUUAG